rnacentral:rRNA from 1 species
CUACGGGUCGCUGCAGUGAGGAAUAUUGCACAAUGGGGGGAAACCUGAUGCAGCAACGCCGCGUGGAGGAUGACGCAUUUCGGUGUGUAAACUCCUUUUAUAUGUCAAGAAAAUGACGGUAGCAUAUGAAUAAGCACCGGCUAACUCCGUGCCAGCAGCCGCGGUAAUACGGAGGGUGCAAGCGUUACUCGGAAUCACUGGGCGUAAAGGACGCGUAGGCGGGUUGGAAAGUCAGGUGUGAAAUCCCACAGCUUAACUGUAGAACUGCACUUGAAACUUCUAAUCUAGAGUAUGGGAGGGGGAGAUGGAAUUAGUGGUGUAGGGGUAAAAUCCGUAGAUAUCACUAGGAAUACCUAAAGCGAAGGCGAUCUCCUGGAACAUUACUGACGCUAAGGCGUGAAAGCGUGGGGAGCAAACAGGAUUAGAUACCCUCGUAGUC